CAUUACCGAGUUCAGAGGCUUAAAACCCCUCUACUCCCAUCCUUGUCUAAUUAUAAGCUGUCAAGCAGCUUCGGCGGGCCAUCUCUCCAGGGAGAUGUCGGCCUCACAGCUGGCUUGUGCCUGCCGAAGUACCGAAUUCUGAUAAUUGUGCAGUCUGAGAAAAACGAUUUAAAUAAUCAAAACUUUCAACAACGGAUCUCUUGGUUCUGGCAUCGAUGAAGAACGCAGCGAAAUGCGAUAAGUAAUGUGAAUUGCAGAAUUCAGCGAAUCAUCGAAUCUUUGAACGCACAUUGCGCCUCCGGGUAUUCCUGGAGGCAUGCCUGUUCGAGCGUCGUUUAGACCAUGAGGCUUUGCCUUGCGAUGACACCUGGUAUCGAAAGAUUCCAUCUGUUCAAACAUAUUGGCAUUUUGAAGUUGGCCCAGCACAGCACAAUGUGUGAAGGACGACGGAAAGGAUGCCUGUAUCAUGGCGAUUUCCCGACCUUGCGGUCGGUGAUCGCCUUAUUUGGUCG
rnacentral:rRNA from 1 species